rnacentral:tRNA from 1 species
GGUUGUGGCUCAUUGGUAGAGUGCUUGCCUAGCAUGCGGGAGGCACUGGGUUCAAUUCCUGGCACCA